rnacentral:misc_RNA from 1 species
GAGAGAGAGAGAGAGAGGAAUCCAAUUCUUUGUACAAAGACACCACCUUUUUGGGGUUUUUAGUACUGUAAAGAAGAUUGCAGUCAUAAGUGUAUUUUGACAAGCUAAAGAAAGAAGAGGGAGAAAAAAAAAGCCUAUUCUUCAAGCCAUUGUUUUUUAUUUGAGAAAGAGAAUCUUAACUUAAGAUAUUCAUAGUGGGAAUCUUUGGGUUCUUUAAAAAUUUUCAAAAAUCAUUCUUUGGUUUUCUUGAAAGGAAAAAUAAAAGAGGGAUAGUUCAUUAGCUAAAAAAAUGGUUUCAAGGUCAUAUUCCAACUUACUAGAUCUUAUUUCUGAUGAUUCGCCAACAUUUGGCCGAGGGGGUAGAAAGCUUUCGAGGGUAGCAACUGUGGCUGGGGUUUUAUC